rnacentral:lncRNA from 1 species
CCUAGCAGGCUAAGUGCCGGUGAACUGGAUUAGGCUAUAAGCCUAGCAGGCUAAGUGCUGGUGAUCUGAAUCAGGCUUUAAGCCUAACAAGCUAAGUGCCAGCGAAUCUGUUUAUAUUAAGUGAUUAUUUGCAUUGGGUAUAUAUAUGAUUUUGGUUAUAUGUAAUGGAUAAAUAUAUGAACAUUUGUUUCUAAGUAUUUGAUGAGCAUAUAAACGUUCAAAUCUUUGUGUUUAGUGAGUAUAUAUAUAUGUUGGUUAUCAUGAAAUUGUUGGAUAUAUAUAUGUGUAUGCACUCGACAUAUGUGGAUUAUAGUAAAAAUAUAUAUGUGCAUUCGGCACAUGUGGUUGAUAAGAAUAAGUAUAUGCUUUUGGCAUAUGUAUUUGAAUAAUAUAUGUAAUACCUGGCCUGGCCUAUUAACGAAUAAACCCAAACAAAAAAAUACAAGCCCAAUAAACGAGCCCAAUAGCCAAUUCCUAAGCCAAGCCCGAAACUAAUGGAAAAGGGAAGGGUUGAGAAACCCUAGCAGCAGCCCCCGCCUCCAGCAGUCCCAAUCGGCGCACAACUCGGAGCUAGAGGCCUCCUCCGCGAGAGUUGCGCCUCCACGUCGCGCGUAGUCUCCUCCAACAGUACCUGCAGCAACAAGAUAGCAAAAAUCAUGCCAACAAAACAGAAUAGAUCUUUUUUUUAUUUUGUUGAUUUAUCUUUUCCAUUUCGGCUAUUUAAAGGCCGAUUUAAAUCAUGUAAAUGGGGGGAUUUUCAGUGGAAAAGGCAUACGAAAAUAGGGGGAAGUUAGUGUGAAGAAGAUAUAGAGAGAAAAUAUACUGAAAAAGUUUUUUCGAAGGUGAAUCGCUUUUAGUUUUUCUGUUCUUUUUUUAUUUUUCCAUUUAUUUUUCCAUUUAAAAUAAAAAGGAGAAGGAAAAGAAAACUUACCCGAGUCGGGAUCGGGAUCGGCGUCGGAUUUCGGACCGAUUGAAUCGCUUGAACGGCGGCGCAAAAGGGGGCUAGGGCCGAAACCCUAGCAGAGGAAAAGAGGCGGCCCUCCUUUGUUUUUUUAAGGGACCCUGCAAAU